rnacentral:rRNA from 1 species
UGAGUAACCUGCCCUUAACUCUGGGAUAAAGCCUGGGAAACUGGGUCUAAUACCGGAUAUGACUCCUCAUCGCAUGGUGGGGGGUGGAAAGCUUUAUUGUGGUUUUGGAUGGACUCGCGGCCUAUCAGCUUGUUGGUGAGGUAAUGGCUCACCAAGGCGACGAUGCGUAGCCGACCUGAGGAGGGUGAUCGGCCACAUUGGGACUGAGACACGGCCCAGACUCCUACGGGGAGCGG